rnacentral:misc_RNA from 1 species
GAUGAAGAACGUAGCGUAAUGCGAUAAGUAAUGUGAAUUGCAGAAUUCAGUGAAUCAUCGAAUCUUUGAACGCACAUUGCGCCCGCCAGUAUUCUGGCGGGCAUGCCUGUUCGAGCGUCAUUUCAACCAUCAAGCCCCCGGCUUGUGUUGGGGACCUGCGGCUGCCGCAGGCCCUGAAAAGCAGUGGCGGGCUCGCUGUCACACCGAGCGUAGUAGCAUACAUCUCGCUCUGGGCGUGCUGCGGGUUCCGGCCGUUAAACCACCUUCAUAACCCAAGGUUGACCUCGGAUCAGGUAGGAAGACCCGCUGAACUUAAGCAUAUCAAUAAGCGGAGGA